rnacentral:rRNA from 1 species
CGAACGCUGGCGGCGUGCUUAAUACAUGCAAGUCAACUUGACUUUAGAUAGCAAUAUCGAAAAGUAGGGUGGCGCACGGGUGCGUAACGCGUAGGUAAUCUGCCCUGAGGUCUGACAUAACCCGUCGAAAGGCGGGCUAACAUCAGAUGAUAUAUAAUCACGACAUCGUGGAAAUAUCAAAUCUUCGGAGCCUUGGGAUGAGCCUGCGUCUGAUUAGGUAGUUGGCGGAGUAAUAGCCCACCAAGCCUACGAUCAGUAGCUGGUCUGAGAGGAUGAUCAGCCACACUGGAACUGAGACACGGUCCAGACUCCUACGGGGGGCAGCAGUAAGGAAUAUUGCUCAAUGGGGGAAACCCUGAAGCAGCAACGCCGCGUGAAGGAUGAAAUACUUUUAUAUGCAAACUUCUGUAAGAUGGGAAAAAUAUUCUCCUCGGGAGAAUUGAUUGUACCAUCAGAGUAAGCCCCGGCUAACUACGUG